GUGUCAGCAGCCGCGGUAAUACAGAGGGGGCAAGCGUUGUUCGGAAUUACUGGGCGUAAAGGGCGCGUAGGCGGCCGCCUAAGUCAGACGUGAAAUCCCUCGGCUCAACCGGGGAACUGCGUCUGAUACUGGGUGGCUUGAAUCCGGGAGAGGGAUGCGGAAUUCCAGGUGUAGCGGUGAAAUGCGUAGAUAUCUGGAGGAACACCGGUGGCGAAGGCGGCAUCCUGGACCGGCAUUGACGCUGAGGCGCGAAAGCCAGGGGAGCAAACGGGAUUAGAAACCCCCGUAGUCC
rnacentral:rRNA from 1 species